UCAUUCUUUUUAUUCAUUCAUUCAUUCAAAGUUACACAAAUGAAAUGGAAAGGAAGGAGCAAACUGAAAAAAGAAAAAAACCCUCUUAAUUUGCGAAUCAAAGAAAGACAAUGAUAUAUAUAUGUAGGUGGUUACUAACAGCUAUAUAAAGCUGAAAACCCUAUGACCCUCAUUUCUUGAAAACCCCCACCACAUUUCUUCUUCUCCAUCAUCUUUUCUCUCUCAGCAACAAUGGAACCCAACCCCAAAACCCACCGCAUCACAUCCCUCCAAACCCACAAAACCCACCGCCUCAAAACCCACAAUUCCCACUGCAUAGCAGCCCUAAAAAUCACGAUAUCAUCCUUCUAACUGACAUUGAUGACUUCAUAGAUCCGAAGAAAACAAAACAAUGGUGUCGUUUGUAAAAAGACAAUGGCGUCGCUCGUAAAAAAACAAUAGUGUCGCUCGGAUUUUUCCUAUUAUACGUUGUAUUUGCUACACAAAAUUCAAUGGUGUCAGACGACACCGUUGUUCAAAGUGUGACUCCGCCAAUGCUGUCGCGCCCCGCGAGAGCCGGAGGCCUUGUUGAUGAAACCCGCAGGAAUCCUUUGCAACAUAUCAACAUUAUGUCUGAUUUUUUCGAUAACUACUGGAGUGAAAAAGGCGUUUUCUUUGAUGAUGUUAACGUGCUUUAUGAGCAUGUCAAGGACUUAAGACAAAGGUUUCUCAUGGAUGUACAAAGGCAAAGCCUUGGUGUCGACAUUAUGGCUCAGAUGGAUUCAAAUGAUGAAGAAAUUUUUCGACUGUCCAAUGAGAUAUGGGGUUAAAUUUAAAAUUAAGAUUCCGAUGAUGAUGCAUGCAUGCAUAACUCACACUUGGUAACGGUAAUCGCUUUUGGGUUUCUUGAUUUUGAAAUUUAUUUGUUGAUUCGAUUUGAAAUACGCUCUCUUUGGUCCUACGAUGAAUUUGUUAAUGAUUGUCUGUGUUAGAUUUUAAUCUUACCAACUUUUUUUACGUUCAA